GGGAAAGCAGGCUUUUUAAGCUAAUACAGGCAAGAAAGCACUUAGCACAAAAAUAUUUAGUGCAACACACACACAGAGAUAGGAAGAGCG